ACUAAACUAACUAGUUGUAACUUCAAUUCAUAGAUAAAAUUCAACAAAACAAAAAAGGGUUCUUUAUCAUUUUCAUUUUUUAAUGAUUCAUUUCUCAUUCUUUUGUAUGAUUUUUAUGAAUCUAUAAAAAACUAUAAAAAAAUGCUUAUUAAUUGACUGAAUAAAUGAAUGAAAAAAUAUGAUUUUUAGAGAUCACAAUUUCAGCACCACACCCAACGAUUUCAAAAGAUUUAUGUAAUUUUUGUA
rnacentral:lncRNA from 1 species